rnacentral:rRNA from 1 species
UACGUAGGCAGCAAGCGUUGUUCGGAGUUACUGGGCGUAAAGGGUGUGUAGGCGGUUCUUUUAAGUUUGGUAUGAAAUCUCCCGGCUCAACUGGGAGGGUGCGCCGAAUACUGAGGGACUAGAGUACGGGAGAGGAAAGUGGAAUUCCUGGUGUAGCGGUGAAAUGCGUAGAUAUCAGGAGGAACACCGGUGGUGUAGACGGCUUUCUGGACCGUAACUGACGCUGAGACACGAAAGCGUGGGUAGCAAACGGG